ACGCUCGACACCUACGGGAGGCAGCAGUGAGGAAUAUUGGUCAAUGGGCGCUAGCCUGAACCAGCCAAGCAGCGUGAAGGAUGAAGGCUCUAUGGGUCGUAAACUUCUUUUAUAUAAGAAUAAAGUGCAGUAUGUAUACUGUUUUGUAUGUAUUAUAUGAAUAAGGAUCGGCUAACUCCGUGCCGGCAGCCGCGGUAAUCUGAGCGGGCUGGCAAGGC
rnacentral:rRNA from 1 species